GGUCCCGUAGAUCAGUCGGUUAGAGCGUUGGUCUUAAGAGCCGAAGGAAGCGGGUUUGAGCCCCGUCGGGACCA
rfam:Ipomoea nil DNA, scaffold: scaffold2782, cultivar: Tokyo-kokei standard.